CUGGCAGAGGCUGGUUCUCCUACCUUCUCACCUCCGCAGCCCCCCUUUUUCUCCUUUGCCGCCACCACCACCGCCACCCACCUUUACCUCCCUUUCCAUCUACCUCGAGCUCAGGCCAUCCUCUUCCAACACGCAAAUGUUUUUCGCUCGCUCGCACCUUUACCCCAUGUUGCUACUACGGUCACGAUCGGGCAAUCGUGUCCCUCUACCACCGCCAUCAUCGCCAUCCUCGCCACUACCACCGGCUACUGGUUACGUUUCCUGUACAUGCGGUUUUGUCCGAAUCAUUUGCGCAAAGUCCCGCCUCGAGAACUUUUCGGUACUGGUUGAGAGCGUGCGCCAGGGGUACACCAUCACAGUACUCGGGUAAGGUUGGGAUUUUUCCGAACGGAGCCAAUCUUUCAGACAAGGUAAAUGUUCGUAAAACAACCUGUAGAUUUCCGAUUUCAAAAUUUUUUUUUUCUUUUUAACCUUUUCUCUGGUUCUUUGCUAACAAUUUUUAAUUAUUUCGAAUAAUUUAUUAUCUUUAAAUUAAAACAGUGUGAAAUACAGUAGCGUUAAAUGUUACUGAAUUUAUAGAAUAUUUAUACUUUCUUUACGUAAUUUGCAGAUAUUCGGAAAUUCUUUUGAAUAAUUUGUUCUUUGAGUUGAAACAAUGUAACGUACAAAGGCAGUCAAAGUAUUAUCGAAUUUGUAGAAAGAACGAAGGACUUGUUAUUUUUUACGUUAUUUCCUAUGAUAUAUUCUUACGUGAUAUUUUUUAAUGUUACUCUUGUUAAUCAUCAAAUGAAGAGAAGAAUGAAAUUAUUUGAUAUUUCCUUUUUUCAUUUAUAUAUUCGUUACUUUAUUACACAUUUUUCGUCAAAUAUCUUAUACAUAUUUCCUAUUUAAAAUAUCGUUUUACGAGAUUAUUGGCAUCAGAGGCAGCUUUGUGUCAAUCAUUAACGAUUACAUUGUGAUAAACUAUUGAUCGAACGAAUUUUCUCCCCUUCUUACAAUAUUAAUACUUAAUUUGCAUUAAAAUUAUCUUCACUUCAAUAUCGGAUAAUUUUAUUAUCACCUAUUUUCUCGAUUUUAUUCGUAUAGAGAUAUUUCUUGACAUUGUUCUUUUUCCUUUUACUGUAAAUCACGUUACUGCACAUAAAUUGAAUCAGUACAUCGAAUUUCAUUUAUUUAUCUUACUUCAUAAGCAUAUUUCUUGUAAGAAAUUACGCUGCUCGAAAUAAUUGGACUAAUUAAGCUUAUGUAUUUAUUUAAUUGUAUAAUUUAGGAGAUUAUCUCUUAAUUAUUUUGAGCAGCACACGUAAAAGUACUACAGAUAUCGGUCUUUUUAUAUUAAUCGAUUCGACAGCCAACGUUCGUUCGUUUAGCUUAAAAUUAUACUCAGAACGAAAUAUCGAAUUGUGAAAUUUUUUAAUCGAUUUUACCAACAUUUGUUUAUCCAUUUUCCAAAUUACAGACGAUAUGAUGUGUCGCUUUUCGAGAUUUUUAAAAAUAUUUUAAGACGAAAAUAUUAAACAAUUUUGCAGACAUGUAAAAUUGAUACAUCAAGAAAACAAAAUAUUAUGCAUCUCUAGGAUUGACAAAAUUAUUAUGUCGGUUUUCAAUAAAUUAAAAAAUCGAUGUGCACUAAAAAA